rnacentral:lncRNA from 10 species
GAGCACCCAGGAUGUGUUUUCAUUGGUACGGAAUUAGCUAGCCCUGGGAAAGACAGUCCCUCCAGAGUUAGCAACACCCCAAGAUGUCAAAGAUAAAAAUGCAAAAAUUAAAACUCCAUGAUUAACACAACUUUGAAGUCCUUCUCACUUGUCUUUAGAUGAAGGGCAACAUCAUUGCAACAAGUCACACUUUGAGAACUCAAGAGAAUAUGUUUGUUCUGAAAAUCCAGGAAUUAUUGCCAACCCAUGGUUGUCUCCAUAUGUCUUGGGAAAAAUAGGAAAAGGAUUUUUUGAGUUGGUGAUUUGAAUCCAAGACACAAAGAUUCAGGCUCUGGUAAAAAGAUUGUAUAGGCUAUAUUGGCUGACAUAAAAGGUGCUGUCUCAGUGGAAUAGUCAACCAAUGUAUCCUACAUUUUGGACCAGCAGAAGGAAGUAAUGAGAACAGAAAACAAAUAAGAAGUGAGUUGGAGGGAGAAGGAGACUUUAGCAUCUUCCUGAAAUCAGGAAGAAAGUUUCAAGAAUAAAGUAAUCCAUAGGGUCAAAUACUGCAGUAAGUUUAAUUAGGAUGAAGACUGCAAAGAUGGUAUUAGUUUGGUACUUAGGACAUUGGUGACCUCCACAGGUGACUUUCAGGAGAAUUAUCUGGGGAACUUGUUGAUAGAAUUUGUGAAUCUCCACCUUUAGGGAUUCUGAUUUAGAAGGAGUAGGAAGAAGGCCUUAGGAUCUCCAUUUAUAACAACCACUACUGAUUAUUUUGAGGCAGGUAGCAUACAGACCACAUUUGAAAGAAACACUAGGUAAGUGUGAUUUUCAUUCAAAGGACAAAAAACAUAAAGUUACCUAAUUCAGGGACCAUUUCAAAGACCAAAUCAAAUCAGUAGCCUGGCUGAUCUGAUCGACUGCGCAGAAACUAGCCAUUACCAUGGCAAAGUGGGGAGGAACAGUCAAUAAAAAGCAAUUGAUGGCCAGGCGCGGUGGCUCACGCCUGUAAUCCCAGCACUUUGGGAGGCCAAGGCGGGCGGAUCACGAGGUCAG